rnacentral:rRNA from 1 species
CCAGGCUUGAACAGCCAGUGACCACUCCCGAAAGGGAGCUUCCGCAAGGACACUGGUAGAGGUGCUGCAUGGCUGUCGUCAGCUCGUGUCGUGAGAUGUUGGGUUAAGUCCCGCAACGAGCGCAACCCUUGUCUGCUGUUGCCAUCACGUUAUGGUGGGCACUCUGCAGAGACUGCCGGUGAUAAACCGGAGGAAGGUGGGGAUGACGUCAAGUCAGCAUGGCCUUUAUGUCUGGGGCUACACACGUGCUACAAUGGCAGAUACAAACCGUCGCGAGACCGCAAGGUGGAGCUAAUCGGAGAAAGUCUGUCUCAGUUCGGAUUGUCGGCUGCAACUCGCCGGCAUGAAGUUGGAAUCGCUAGUAAUCGCGGAUCAGCACGCCGCGGUGAAUACGUUCCC